rnacentral:lncRNA from 1 species
GGAGGACUGAGACCUGGCCUCCCUGGUUAGCUCCUUGAGGCCACUUCUGUGCUUGCACGCAGCCACCUGCUCUCAGAAGCAGCAGUGGUUCAUCAAAUCCCUCUCGCUCAGGAUUCCUCUAACACCUUCCCAGCACACACGCAUACACAGCCAAAGAGUUGUGAAGCUGGGGUUCGAAUCCCUAUGCCCCAGGGCCCACGGGGAAGGGCCAGUCACCGCAGGUGUGGAUGAGCUGAUUCCUCAGCCUUUUUACCAACAGCCAAGGAAUGUGGGAAAGACGGAGUUUAUUCGGAUCAGAGUACAGAUCCAGAGGGAUGGCGCAGAGUGGGAACAAUUUAUUGAGAAAAAGCUUCUGUCUAAGAGAGGCAGAAGGGGGACAGCAAAGUACAUUGGCUGGGUCGGACACUGUCAAGGCCAACUGGCAAGGCCUUUCACUCGGGCCUCACAAAAGGCUCCUCAGACUCAGUUAACAUCAGUGCUGUGCCUCGCGACCGCCCUAGUGCCGGGCCAGGGCUGCGUCACCAGAGCAAUGCCGAGACCUAACCCUUUUGUCAACAAACCUGCCUCAAUCUUCUGACGGAGCCAGCGGUCACUAGUCGAACAGUACCUGAGGAGAGGGUUCAGGAGAGCAUGAUCUGCGGUGGAGCCCGGGGACCGGCAUCUUUCUGGGAAGACACUCAGGGGAAGACAUCCGUGUGACCACACAAGCAGCAGCCACACUGCUGCAGCUGCAAGCCACGGAAGGCCAGGCACUUGACAGCCACCAGAAGCUGGAGAUGGAGGCCCCAGGGGAACCAACCAGCUCAGCACAGUGCCUGCUGUCUGCCACAAGCACCAGAAAGCCGUUAUCCUCACCCGCAUGGUUGCAACAUAGCUGCUGCUUCUCUGGACAUCACUUCCAGGGUUCAGGAAGGAAGAGGAGAUGGACUGAAGGGCUUAUUGCAUUCCAAAAGGCCAACCCCCUGCACACCCAGGGAAAUAGCAUCUGUCUGGGACUGUGGUGCAGAGGCCCCUGGCUGCAAGGGGCUGGGUGAUGGCCCCAGGGCUCCCAGCUGGGAAGUCGUCAUCCUGCUUGGCUCUGGGAAACUGGUUUUCUCAACUCUCACAGCCUCCGCCCUGGUCAAAUAUUUGCCUGAGGUAUUAUCAAGGAGGAAGCUGGUUCACUCAGGACGUGUUUAGGCAGCACCAUAUGGGGAGCAGGAGCCACGGAGCCUGGUUACUGCUUCCUUGCUCUGAGCCUGGGUUUCCCCGCUGCAGGCAUGGGGGCUGUGGACGGUGGCAGGGGAGUCCGCUCUUCCUCCUUCACUUCCUGCCCCUGUCCAGACCCCGCCCCUCCCAGCUGUUCCCCAGGCUGGGCAGCUCAGGACCCCUGAAGCAGGUGUGGCCAGGGCCUCCCUGUCUCCUGCCUGGGCUCCUCAUCUAUCAGCCACACCAGCUGCAGAGAGGGCCUCCAAAGGGCAAACCCUGCCUCGCAUGGUGGCGCACGCUUGUAGUCCCAGCACCCAGGAGGCUGAGGCAGGAGGAUCACUGAGAGUUCUAGGC